rnacentral:rRNA from 1 species
GAGGAAAGCUGGCGGCGUGCCUAAUACAUGCAAGUCGAGCGAACAGACGAGGAGCUUGCUCCGCUGACGUGAGCGGCGGGCGGGUGAGUAACACGUGGAUAACCUACCUGUAAGAGGGGGAUAACUUGGGGAAACGGGAGCUAAUACCGGAUGAGAUCUUGAAGCGCGUGGUGGGAUGGUGAAAGACGGUUGUGGGGGCAGGUAUAGAUGGAUCUGCGCCGCAUUAGCUAGUUGGUAAGGUAACGGCUUACCAAGGCAAGGAUGCGUAGGCGAGCUGAGAGAGUGAUCGGCCACACUGGAACUGAGCCACGCUCCAGACUCCUACGGGACGCAGCAGUAGGGAAUCUUCCGCAAAGGUCGAAAGCCUGACGGAGCAACGCCGCGUGAGUGAUGAAGGUCUUCGGAUCGUAAAACUCUGUUAUUAGGGAAGAACAAAUGUGUAAGUAACUAUGCACGUCUUGACGGUACCUAAUCAGAAAGCCCCGGCUAACUACGUG